ensembl:lncRNA LINC00161 long intergenic non-protein coding RNA 161
UAAUAACAUCUACCAAACAGUUUACAUUGUGCUAAACAACUUAUGCACAUUAUUUCUUUGAUUCUUUUUAACACAUGGUUGUGGGCUGAAUGGUGUCUCCCAAGAAGUCAUAUGCCGGGAUCCUGUCCCAUAGUGCCUCACAACGUGACAUUGUUUGGAGUUAGGGUUGUUGAAGAUGUCAUUAGUCAAGAUGAGGUCAUACUUGAGUGAGGAAGAAGAGAACUGUAGACAUGCAGCAGCCAUCUUGUGGAUAUGAGGGAAGAGCCAAAUAGACUACAAAUCGGUUAACACAGAGAACUAAAAUUGUGGAGCUACUGAAUGAACCAGCUAUGGAAUUGUCUGUGUGUGGGCAUUCAGAUGGACAUACCGGAUAAAAUUCUGGACUGGUAAGAGUGUGGGGAAAUUGCCAGUCUUAAGCAGUGCUGAUGGAGGUGUGAAUUGGUAAAACAAUUUGAAAAGUAAGUUGCUAGUUUUUAUAAAAUUUUUAAAAAUAAAUGUAUUCUCUGACCCAGUA